rnacentral:rRNA from 1 species
UACGGGGGGGGGCAAGCGUUGUUCGGAAUUACUGGGCGUAAAGGGCGCGUAGGCGGUUCACUAAGUUGGAUGUGAAAACUCUGGGCUUAACCCAGAGCCUGCAUCCAAAACUGGCGAACUUGAGUACUGGAGGGGAAAGCGGAAUUCCUGGUGUAGCGGUGAAAUGCGCAGAUAUCAGGAGGAACACCAGCGGCGAAGGCGGCGCUCUGGGCCGGUACUGACGCUGAGGAGCGAAAGCGUGGGGAGCGAACAGG